GCCCAACUCUAUAAACCAAGAAUCAUGUCAGUGUCUUAUGCGGUUAUCUAUUCUUAGAUUUGACAAAGUAAUGGAUCUAAAUCGAAUAGCUAAAAUACAAGCUCAUCUAAGAGCUGGCUUACACUCCUAUCACUAGUGCAAGAAUCCUUGACAAUGACUUCCCAUGAAUCAAAAUUGAACUUUUUCUUCCUCUUCUCCAUCUCCUCCAAAACAAAG
rnacentral:misc_RNA from 1 species